GAGUAACCUGCCCUUGACUCUGGGAUAAGCCUGGGAAACUGGGUCUAAUACCGGAUAUGACCGUCUGACGCAUGUCAGGUGGUGGAAAGCUUUUGUGGUUUUGGAUGGACUCGCGGCCUAUCAGCUUGUUGGUGGGGUAAUGGCCUACCAAGGCGACGACGGGUAGCCGGCCUGAGAGGGUGACCGGCCACACUGGGACUGAGACACGGCCCAGACUCCUACGGGAGGCAGCAGUGGGGAAUAUUGCACAAUGGGCGCAAGCCUGAUGCAGCGACGCCGCGUGAGGGAUGACGGCCUUCGGGUUGUAAACCUCUUUCAGUAGGGAAGAAGCGAAAGUGACGGUACCUGCAGAAGAAGCGCCGGCUAACUACGUGCCAGCAGCCGCGGUAAUACGUAGGGCGCAAGCGUUAUCCGGAAUUAUUGGGCGUAAAGAGCUCGUAGGCGGUUUGUCGCGUCUGCUGUGAAAGACCGGGGCUCAACUCCGGUUCUGCAGUGGGUACGGGCAGACUAGAGUGCAGUAGGGGAGACUGGAAUUCCUGGUGUAGCGGUGAAAUGCGCAGAUAUCAGGAGGAACACCGAUGGCGAAGGCAGGUCUCUGGGCUGUAACUGACGCUGAGGAGCGAAAGCAUGGGGAGCGAACAGGAUUAGAUACCCUGGUAGUCCAUGCCGUAAACGUUGGGCACUAGGUGUGGGGGACAUUCCACGUUUUCCGCGCCGUAGCUAACGCAUUAAGUGCCCCGCCUGGGGAGUACGGCCGCAAGGCUAAAACUCAAAGGAAUUGACGGGGGCCCGCACAAGCGGCGGAGCAUGCGGAUUAAUUCGAUGCAACGCGAAGAACCUUACCAAGGCUUGACAUGAACCGGUAAUACCUGGAAACAGGUGCCCCGCUUGCGGUCGGUUUACAGGUGGUGCAUGGUUGUCGUCAGCUCGUGUCGUGAGAUGUUGGGUUAAGUCCCGCAACGAGCGCAACCCUCGUUCUAUGUUGCCAGCGCGUUAUGGCGGGGACUCAUAGGAGACUGCCGGGGUCAACUCGGAGGAAGGUGGGGACGACGUCAAAUCAUCAUGCCCCUUAUGUCUUGGGCUUCACGCAUGCUACAAUGGCCGGUACAAAGGGUUGCGAUACUGUGAGGUGGAGCUAAUCCCAAAAAGCCGGUCUCAGUUCGGAUUGGGGUCUGCAACUCGACCCCAUGA
rnacentral:rRNA from 1 species